AAUCUUCCAACUCUGACAGUCUCAAGAGGACAUCCAAAUCCUUUAUACGUGUAUAUUUUUUUCUUACAAAUUAAUACAUAUUUAAUUUUAAUUUUUUUUCUCUCUCACAAAAGGAUUACUGGUUUAAGUUUUUUCCUUUCUUUCUCUCUCUUAUAUUUGCUUUUUCCUCUUUCUGCUUGGGUUUCUUUGAUAUUGAAUUUGGU
rnacentral:lncRNA from 1 species